CCUACGGGUGACUGCAGUGAGGAAUAUUGGUCAAUGGACGGAAGUCUGAACCAGCCAAGUCGCGUGAGGGAUGAAGGUUCUAUGGAUCGUAAACCUCUUUUAUAAGGGAAUAAAGUGUGGGACGUGUCCUAUUUUGUAUGUACCUUAUGAAUAAGGAUCGGCGAACUCCGUGCCAGCAGCCGCGGUAAUACGGAGGAUCCGAGCGUUAUCCGGAUUUAGUGGGUUUAACGGGUGCGUAGGCGGCCUUUUAAGUCAGCGGUGAAAGUCUGUGGCUCAACCAUAGAAUUGCCGUUGAAACUGGGGGGCUUGAGUAUGUUUGAGGCAGGCGGAAUGCGUGGUGUAGCGGUGAAAUGCUUAGAUAUCACGCAGAACCACGAUUGCGAAGGCAGCCUGCCAAGCCAUGACUGACGCUGAUGCACGAAAGCGUGGGGAUCAAACAGGAUUAGAUACCCUUGUAGUC
rnacentral:rRNA from 1 species